UCCUUGGUGGUCCAGUGGCUAAGACUCUGUGCUCCCAAUGCAGGGGGCCCAGGUUCAACCCCUAAUCAGGGAG
rnacentral:tRNA from 1 species